rnacentral:rRNA from 1 species
AAUCAACGCUGGCGGCGUGCCUAACACAUGCAAGUCGAACGCGAAAGCCCCGCAAGGGGUAAGUAGAGUGGCAAACGGGUGAGUAACACGUGGGUGACCUGCCUUCGAGUGGGGGAUAACGUCCCGAAAGGGACGCUAAUACCGCAUGACAUCCUGCUUUUUAAGAGGUGGAGAUCAAAGCCGGGGAUCGCAAGACCUGGCGCUUGAAGAGGGGCCCGCGCCUGAUUAGCUAGUUGGUGGGGAAUGGCUCACCAAGGCAACGAUCAGUAUCCGGCCUGAGAGGGCGGACGGACACACUGGGACUGAGACACGGCCCAGACUCCUACGGGAGGCAGCAGUGGGGAAUUGUUCGCAAUGGGCGCAAGCCUGACGACGCAACGCCGCGUGGAGGAUGAAGGUGCUCUGCAUUGUAAAACCUCUGUAGUCGAAGACAAAAACGGGUUAACUACCCGU